UCCGGUUGAUCCUGCCGGACCCGACUGCUAUCAGAGUGGGACUAAGCCAUGCGAGUUAACGCAGCAAUGCGUGGCAUACGGCUCAGUAACACGUAGUCAACAUGCCCAGGGGACGUGGAUGACCUCGGGAAACUGAGGACAAACCGCGAUAGGCCAAGGUUUCUGGAAUGGAUCAUGGCUGAAACCUAUAUGGCCCCUGGAUUGGACUGCGGCCGAUCAGGCUGUUGGUGAGGUAAUGGCCCACCAAACCUGUAACCGGUACGGGCUCUGAGAGGAGGAGCCCGGAGAUGGGCACUGAGACAAGGGCCCAGGCCCUAUGGGGCGCAGCAGGCGCGAAACCUCUGCAAUAGGCGAAAGCUUGACAGGGUUACUCUGAGUGACGUCCGUUAAGGACGUCUUUUGGCACCUCUAAAAAUGGUGCAGAAUAAGGGGUGGGCAAGUCUGGUGUCAGCCGCCGCGGUAAUACCAGCACCCCGAGUGGUCGGGACGAUUAUUGGGCCUAAAGCAUCCGUAGCCGGUUCUGCAAGUCUUCCGUUAAAUCCACCUGCUCAACAGAUGGGCCGCGGAGGAUACUACAGGGCUAGGAGGCGGGAGAGGCAAGCGGUACUCAGUGGGUAGGGGUAAAAUCCUCUGAUCCACUGAAGACCACCAGUGGCGAAGGCGGCUUGCCAGAACGCGCUCGACGGUGAGGGAUGAAAGCUGGGGGAGCAAACCGGAUUAGAUACCCGGGUAGUCCCAGCUGUAAACGAUGCAGACUCGGUGAUGGGUUGGCUUUGGGCCAACCCAGUGCCGCAGGGAAGCCGUUAAGUCUGCCGCCUGGGGAGUACGGUCGCAAGACUGAAACUUAAAGGAAUUGGCGGGGGAGCACCACAAGGGGUGAAGCCUGCGGUUCAAUUGGAGUCAACGCCGGAAAUCUUACCGGGGGCGACAGCAGAGUGAAGGUCAAGCUGAAGACUUUACCAGACAAGCUGAGAGGAGGUGCAUGGCC
rnacentral:rRNA from 1 species